CACGUAGGAGGCGAGCGUUGUCCGGAAUCAUUGGGCGUAAAGAGCGCGCAGGCGGCUUGGCAAGUCGGGUGUGAAAUCCCGGGGCUCAACCCCGUGACUGCAUCCGAUACUGUCAGGCUAGAGGUAGGUAGGGGAGAUCGGAAUUCCCGGUGUAGCGGUGAAAUGCGCAGAUAUCAGGAGGAACACCGGUGGCGAAGGCGGAUCUCUGGGCCUUACCUGACGCUCAGGCGCGAAAGCUAGGGGAGCGAAACAGG
rnacentral:rRNA from 1 species